rnacentral:rRNA from 1 species
UACGUAGGGUCCAAGCGUUAUCCGGAAUCACUGGGCGUAAAGCGUGCGUAGGUGGCGUGUUAAGUGAGGUGUUAAAUCGUGUGGCUCAACCAUAUCGAUGCAUCUCAUACUGGCAUGCUAGAGGACGGCAGAGGCAAGUGGAAUUACGAGUGUAGCAGUGAAAUGCGUAGAUAUUCGUAGGAACACCAAUGGCGAAGGCAGCUUGCUGGGCCACUCCUGACACUGAGGUACGAAAGCGUGGGGAGCGAACAGG